rnacentral:rRNA from 1 species
GUCAUCCUACGGGACGCAGCAGUGGGGAAUAUUGGGCAAUGGACGCAAGUCUGACCCAGCAACGCCGCGUGAAGGAAGAAGGCUUUCGGGUUGUAAACUUCUUUUAAGGGGGAAGAGCAGAAGACGGUACCCCUUGAAUAAGCCACGGCUAACUACGUGCCAGCAGCCGCGGUAAUACGUAGGUGGCAAGCGUUGUCCGGAUUUAUUGGGUUUAAAGGGUGCGUAGGCGGGCUGUUAAGUCAGCGGUAAAAGCCCGGGGCUCAACCCCGGCGAGCCGUUGAAACUGGCUGUCUUGAGAUGUCGAG